ensembl:snRNA U6 U6 spliceosomal RNA
GUGCUCGCCUCGGCAGCACAUAUACUAAAAUCGGAACGAUACAGAGAAGAUUAGCAUGGCCCCUGCGCAAUGAUGGCAUGCAGAUAUCAUGUCUGCAUCUUGUA